CAUCAGCAACAGAUGGAAAAGGUGACAGCAUGGGACCUCUUCAGCAGAGAGCGAAUCUAAGAGCAGGAAGUCGCAUAGCUGCUAUUAACUUAGCAAAGCUGAAACUUUUCAGACAUUAUUACGUCUUGAUUGUGUGUUACAUAUACUUCACUAGGAUCAUUGCAUUUCUCCUCAAAC
rnacentral:sRNA from 2 species